GUGCCAGCAGCCGCGGUAAUACGAACUGUGCAAACGUUAUUCGGAAUCACUGGGCUUACAGGGUGCGUAGGCGGCCAGACAAGUAGGGUGUGAAAGCCCCCGGCUUAACCGGGGAAUGGCGCCCUAAACUGUAUGGCUGGAGUGAGAUAGGGGUGUGCGGAACUUCCGGUGGAGCGGUGAAAUGUGUUGAUAUCGGAAGGAACGCCGGUGGCGAAAGCGGCACACUGGAUCUCAACUGACGCUGAGGCACGAAAGCCAGGGGAGCGAACGGGAUUAGAUACCCCCGUAGUCC
rnacentral:rRNA from 1 species